CCUACGGGAGGCAGCAGUGAGGAAUAUUGGUCAAUGGACGCAAGUCUGAACCAGCCAUGCCGCGUGCAGGAUGACGGCUCUAUGAGUUGUAAACUGCUUUUGUACGAGGGUAAACCCCGAUACGUGUAUCGGGCUGCACGUAGCGUACGAAUAAGGAUCGGCUAACUCCGUGCCAGCAGCCGCGGUAAUCCGGAGGAUACGAGCGUUAUCCGGAUUUAUUGGGGUUAAGGGGUGCGUAGGCGGUGUGAUAAGUUAGGGGUGAAAUGUCGGGGCUCAACCCCGGAACAGCCUCUAAAACUGUCAGACUAGAGAUGAGUAGAGGUAGGCGGAAUGUAUGGUGUAGCGGUGAAAUGCUUAGAGAUCGUGCAGAACACCGAUUGCGAAGGCAGCUUACCAAACUAAAACUGACGUUGCGGCACGAAAGCGUGGGUAGCAAACAGGAUUAGAUACCCUUGUAGUC
rnacentral:rRNA from 1 species